ACAAAAUUGGACUGCAUACCAAAGUUGAAAUCUUCAUCUAGAGACCAUGAUCAUCCCUGCAACUUAAGCAAACACCAAAAACAAACGAAAGCAAACUCGUUCCAAUGGCUCACCACCAACUCAUCGACUCGCUCACCUCGCACAUCUCCCUCUACCACUCCCAAUCCCCAAACCCCAACCCUAACCCUAAUCCUAACCCUCGAUCCUCCAUUCUCAAAUGGUUCUCUUCUCUUUCAAUUCACCAACGCCAGGCCUACCUAACCGUCGUCGACGGGAAUUUCGUCCAGAUCCUCCUCCAGAUGCUGGCCAAACUCCGAUCUCACGGCCACGGAUCCUUCAUUCUCCUCCCCGACCUCCCCUCGCCCAACAACCUCCCCACCCUCUGCUUCAAAAAGUCCCGCGGCCUUAUUGCGCGCGUAGCUGAAUCCGAAACAGCAGGGCGGGCGGUAUUCGAGUCCGCACGGUUGUUCGAGUCGCGUGAGGGCGAGGAGGCUGCCAAUUCAUUGCCGCCCUCGGCGAGGCGGUUAGACGCGCUGACCCUUGCCGAGGGGUUUGUUGGGAAUGUUGACCAGUUUGUGGAGGCCAUGGACCGGAUCUCCGGUGGUGGGUUCCUCCGAGGGGAGGAGGCCGAGCUUGGAGAGGAUUGGGUCGAGCUGCAUUGGCUCAAAGCAAAGGGGUAUUAUGGUAUUGAAGCGUUUAUUGCGAAUAGGAUGGAGGUUUCGAUGAGAUUGGCUUGGUUGAAUUGCUGUGGAGGGAAGAAGAGAGGUGUGAAGUUGAAGGAGAAGAUGAGUGCUGGGGGUGUUGGUGUGAAUGUAUUUUGGAGGAAGAAGGGGUGCGUUGAUUGGUGGGCGAACUUGGAUGCUGGGACCAGGAGGAAGAUCUUCACCACCUUCAUUAUGAAAGCAGCAAAACCCUUGACUCGUGAUGUUUUGGAAGUGUCAAGUAGUGCCUCUGAUGAUGAGAUUUGGCUAUACAGUGCGGGAGUGGAUAAAUUAAUGCAACACAAUCGUCCUAUGUCAGUUCAACGGAUCAUCUCAGCUCUUCCUGCCGAUAUGGAAUUUGGAACAGUUAUUUCACCAGUCACUUUUUGUAAAAAACCAGCUGCUUUAGCCAGAGCCUUCAAUUCUUUAUUAGUACUUCAUGAUGUUAAUAUGAUGGUAGCCUCAAAUCUUAAUAGUGAAUAUGACAUAGGAAAGCUUUUCUUUAGUUCGUUGGGUUCUGUCUGUACGAUAUCUGAUUGUAUAUUAAGAAAAAUGCGAGGAUUUUUUAUGGUUAUUUCACUUGACUGCACAAAACUUGAACUAUUAGGAGAGACACUUGAACUGUCUUCACCAGGUAAACCUAAAGAAAAGCUUAGUUUUUCUAACCGGAAAAAGAAGGGACGAAAUCGCAAUACUAAAAGGCAAAAUCCUAUCUCAAAGACAUGCACAGAUGGUAUUUCACAUGGAAAUCCACUCAAGGACACUGAUUGUAAAAGGGAUAAUAAAAAGAAGACUGAUUUAGUGGGAUCCAGGGAACUUCCUGCUGUUUGUAUGGGGAAGGAGAUUUCCAUGGACAGCUCAUCAUCAACUGUAAAAAUGGAUCAUACUGAAGGAUUGGAUGUUGGCACAGUAAAAGUACGGACCACUUCAAAAAGAAGUAGAAAAGAGAAAAAUAAAAGUAAAAACAUCGUCAUUGAUAGUGCAGGUGGAAAUUCUCAUAAAUCAAUUAUGCAUGCUGCCUCUACCACUGUUGUUUCUGAAGGUGAGGUGGCAAUAUGUGAUAGAUUUUUGAAUAGUUCUACCAUUCAGAAUGUCAAAAAUGACAAUUCAAUUGGUAAUGACAUCCUUACUUCAAAUUCAAGCCUUUGUAGUAAUCUUAGUGGGCUUACUAAGGAGAACAGUUCUACUGGAAAAGUUGAAGGAGAGACAGAAGAUCUUGCUGAAUCUGGGAAUAGUUUAGGGCCUCAAUGUUGUUUAUUAUCAGAUGAAAGGAAAACUGUAUGUUCUGGAUUAGAUACUUUUACAGGUGAUUUAGAUUGUAAUGCUACUGUAACUCCUUCUGUACCUGCAUUGAAACAAGGUAGCUUCUUCAGCAAGGAAGAUACCAGUCAUCUGAACUCAUUGCGUGUUGCCAAAGCUGAUAUAAAGUCUACUGAUCCUGACAAAACAAUUAGAGAGGUUAAUGUAAAAGAAUUUGGGCGGUUGAAUGAGCAUGAUAGAUGUCUAUUUGAGAGUAGAAAUUCAGCUUUCUCAAAAUGCAGUCCAUAUGAGUGGCCUGGGGUACCUUCUAUUUAUUUUCCAUCUUUUAACUCACACCUCCCUCCUGCCACGGAUAGAUUACAUCUUGAUGUUGGGCGGCAUUGGCACAAUCACUUCUGCCAUCCAUUUGUUCCCACAUUACAGCAGGCAAGAAAUCCUUCUAUUGAAGGUGGAUGCAACCCAAUCCUUUCUCGUCCUGUUCCUAUGAGUUUUGACUGGCCACCAGUCUACCGAGGAGGCAGGACCCCAUCACCAAACUAUAAUUAUGACACUGGUUUUAUAUCUAGGAAGCAAUGCACCUUUUCAAAAGGAUUGGCUGUUCACAGCAUUCAGGUCGAUGCAACUGCUCCUGAUGAAGAAAGAAAAUAUUCUGUGGAUGCAUGGGAUUUACCUGACCUAACAAACACAAUGGAGCUAGCAGAUGAAUUUGACAAUCACUGUUUAUCUGAGGAAGAGUAUGAGGUUCAUGCUGUUUCUGGUAUAGAUUAUAAUCAAUAUUUUGGUGGAGGCAUAAUGUACUGGAAUCCUUCUGAUUAUCCGGGAAAAGGUUUCUCCAGGCCUCCCUCACUUAGCUCUGAUGACAGUUUAUGGGCUUUGCGUGAAGCUGACAUGAAUAGGACUGUGGAUGAUAUGGUUGCUUGCACAUCUUCGUAUAGUACGAAUGGUUUAACAUCACCCACUGCUGCUGCAUUUUGUUCUCCUUUUGAUCCUGUAGGGACUGGGACCCAGACUGUUGGUUACAUGAUGUCAGGUAAUGAAGUACCUGGAAAGAUAUUGCAUUCUUCUUCAGUUACUGACCCAGCAGUGGAUGAAGAUAAUUCUGGUUCUUUGGGUAGUGGUUUACCUGGAGAAGUUGAUGGAAAGACAGGUGAUUCACAUCCAUAUCCCAUUCUACGGCCAAUAAUUAUUCCUAACUUGUCAAGGGAAAGGUUUGAUCAUAAAAGUCCCUGUGUUCCUCCCACCAGGCGGGAGCAGCCUCGCAUAAAGCGGCCACCAUCGCCUGUAGUGCUUUGUGUACCACGUGCACCACGUCCACCCCCUCCUUCUCCUGUGAGUGACUCCAGGAAACAUAGGGGUUUUCCAACGGUUAGAUCUGGUAGUUCCAGCCCAAGGCACUGGGGGAUGAGAGGCUGGUAUCAUGAUGGGAGUAAUUUGGAGGAAGCAUGUUUAAGAAUGGAUGGUGCUGAAGUUGUGUGGCCUUGGAGAAAUAAUAAUCUUGCAGUUCGACCUUUGAUUCAGCCUUUACCUGCUGCCUUGCUGCAGGACCGCCUGAUUGCAUUGUCACAGAUAGCACGUGACCAGGAACAUCCGGAUGUCACCUUUCCCUUGCCACCUCCCGAGUUACAAAGCUGUUCUGCACAGAGUGCAUCUUUAUCUGUGAUGCAUGGCAUUCUCCAUGAUGAGAUUGACUCUUUCUGUAAACAGGUUGCUGCAGAAAAUAUGGCCAGGAGGCCUUACAUUAAUUGGGCUGUCAAGAGAGUGACCCGAUUUCUGCAGGUUCUAUGGCCUAGAUCCCGCACUAACAUAUUUGGUUCCAAUGCAACUGGUAUGUCCCUUCCAACAAGUGAUGUUGACCUUGUGGUUGGUCUACCUCCAGUGAGAAACCUGGAACCUAUUAAAGAAGCUGGAAUACUGGAAGGUCGUAAUGGGAUUAAAGAAACAUGUCUUCAGCACGCAGCUAGGUAUCUUGCCAAUCAGGAUUGGGUGAAAAAUGAUUCUCUGAAGACAGUGGAAAACACAGCUAUUCCUAUUAUUAUGCUUGUGGUGGAAGUACCUCAGGAUGUUAUUAACUCAUCAGCUCCUAUGAUACAGUCAUUAAAACAAAACCCACAUCAUAGCCCAGGUAACAAUAGUAAUUCUGAUACCAUCCAGUUAGAAGAUUUGGCUUCGCCAAAAGGCUCCCAACUGAAAUUUGAUGCUUUGAAAUCAAAAUCAGUUCGUCUGGACAUCAGCUUUAAGACCCCUUCACAUACUGGACUCCAGACUACAGAAAUGGUUAAAGAGUUGACAGAGCAAUUUCCUGCUGCCACACCUCUUGCUCUGGUACUAAAACAAUUUUUGGCUGAUCGGAGCCUUGAUCAAUCCUACUCUGGUGGCUUAAGUUCCUACUGUUUGGUCUUACUAAUUAUACGAUUUCUUCAGCAUGAGCAUCAUCUAGGCCGUCCGAUCAACCAAAAUUAUGGAAGCCUUCUGAUGGAUUUUCUCUACUUUUUUGGGAAUGUGUUUGAUCCUCGGCAAAUGCGGAUAUCAGUUCAGGGAAGUGGACUUUAUAUAAAGAGAGAAAGAGGUUGUAGCAUUGAUCCAAUUCACAUAGAUGAUCCUCUUUUCCCAACUAAUAAUGUGGGGAGGAAUUGCUUCCGAAUUCAUCAAUGUAUUAAGGCGUUUUCAGAAGCGUACUCUGUUCUUGAAAAUGAACUCAAAUUCCUAAGUAAUGAUGGUGAGUCAAGUUCAAGGCCACCCUACAGACUGCUUCCAAAAAUCAUUCCAAGUCUUGAUACAUCAAAAGAACUUGAAGACUGAAAUGUUAUUUUGUAUAAAGAGUAUGCAUGGAAGAUGAUCACAUAGCUGGCAGGACAAAUGGAAGAUCCUGAAGUUGGACAGUGUAACAUCUUUGUCAUGCCAUGACAUCCAAGCCCCGGUUAUGCCAACUUCCAAGAAAUGGAUUAAGGGCUUUAUCCUAGAUAUUGUGGUGCUGAUUGAGGGUGGUUAAUGGUCUGGUCUGCUUGAUCAUCUCGAUUGGUUUAAGCUACAUAAUGCUCAACCACUGAUUCAGCUGACUUCUCUCAGACAUAUUGCAAAAUUUUGAUUUGAGGAGGCAAAGAUGGUAAUUUGAUGCCCAAGAGUCAUCUUUGAGUUGUCUUUGUCCAAAGAUGGUAAUUUGAUGCCCAAAGAUGGUAAUUUAAUGCAAACUCAGGCAAG